UACGUAGGGUGCGAGCGUUGUCCGGAAUUACUGGGCGUAAAGAGCUCGUAGGUGGUUUGUCGCGUUGCCGUGAAAACUCACAACUCAAUUGUGGGCGUGCGGGCGAUACGGGCAGACUGGAGUACUGCAGGGGAGACUGGAAUUCCUGGUGUAGCGGUGGAAUGCGCAGAUAUCAGGAGGAACACCGGUGGCGAAGGCGGGUCUCUGGGCAGUAACUGACGCUGAGGAGCGAAAGCGUGGGGAGCGAACAGG
rnacentral:rRNA from 1 species